rnacentral:rRNA from 1 species
UACAGAGGUCUCAAGCGUUGUUCGGAUUCAUUGGGCGUAAAGGGUGCGUAGGCGGCGCGGUAAGUCGGGUGUGAAAUCUCGAGGCUCAACUUCGAGCUGUCGGUGGAAACUGUCUGGCUAGAGUCCGGAAGAGGAGAAUGGAAUUCCUGGUGUAGCGGUGAAAUGCGCAGAUAUCAGGAAGAACACCCGUGGCGAAGGCGGUUCUCUGGGACGGUACUGACGCUGAGACGCGAAAGCGUGGGGAGCGAACAGG